GCUCAAGCGUGACAAGGGCAUUUGGUGGAUGCCUUGGCACUGAGAGGCGAUGAAGGACGCAGCACGUUGCGAUAAGCCCCGGGGAGCCGCGAGCAGGCUUUGAUCCGGGGGUUUCCGAAUGGGGCAACCCGGCCCUUCGGGGUCAUCGUCUGGUCAAUCGAUAGCCAGGCGAGGCGAACCCGGUGAACUGAACCAUCUCAGUAACCGGAGGAAAGGACAUCAACAAUCGUCGAUCUUAGUCGAUCGGCGGUGAGACUCCGCAAGUAGCGGCGAGCGAACGCGGACCAGGCCAGUGACGAAUCGCGUCGAACCGGAACCGUCUGGAAAGGCGGGCCAGAGUGGGUGACAGCCCCGUACGGGUAGGGGGCGCGGAUCGUCGUCGAGUAGGGCGGGGCACGAGAAACCUUGUCUGAACAUGGGGGGACCACCCUCCAAGCCUAAGUACUCCUCAGUGACCGAUAGCGAACCAGUACCGUGAGGGAAAGGUGAAAAGCACCCCGAUGAGGGGAGUGAAACAGAUCCUGAAACCGGAUGCCUACGAUCAGUCGGAGGGGGAGGUGUGUCUUCGGGCACCCCGGCUCCUGACGGCGUACCUUUUGUAUAAUGGGUCAGCGAGUUAAUCGGUGCAGCAAGCUUAAGCCGCUAGGCGAAGGCGCAGCGAAAGCGAGUCUGAACAGGGCGCAUAUCUCCUCAAGUAGCCGAAGGCGAUAGGAGAACGUAAAAGUUCUGGUGUCGUGGCAGCUAUUGGCGGAGACAUCUUCCUCAAGGAGCCGAAGGGCAAACAAGGGGUCGGCCUCUUCUCAAGUCGUCGCAAGAUGACAAAGAGAAGAUGACUGCUCCUCAAGUAGCCGAAGGCGACAGGAGCAAGAAGAUGAUAAGUUGCAUGGAUUAGACCCGAAACCGGGUGAUCUAGCCAUGGGCAGGUUGAAGGUGCGGUAACACGCACUGGAGGACCGAACCCACCUAUGUUGAAAAAUGGGGGGAUGACCUGUGGCUAGGGGUGAAAGGCCAAACAAACCCGGAGAUAGCUGGUUCUCCGCGAAAUCUAUUUCGGUAGAGCGUCGCGCGCGUCCGCCGGGGGUAGAGCACUGGAUGGGCUAGGGGGGAGCAAAUCCUUACCAAACCUAACCAAACUCCGAAUACCGGCGCGAUUGGUGCGGCAGACAGACGGCGGGUGCUAAGGUCCGUCGUCGAAAGGGAAACAGCCCAGACCGCCAGCUAAGGCCCCCAAGUCAUGGCUAAGUGGGAAAGGAUGUGGGAAGGCCAAGACAACCAGGAGGUUGGCUUAGAAGCAGCCAUCCUUUAAAGAAAGCGUAAUAGCUCACUGGUCUAGACAAGCCGUCCCGCGCCGAAGAUGUAUCGGGGCUCAAGCCAUGCGCCGAAGCUGCGGGUGUUCGGAAGACAGUUGUCAGAGGACAGAGGACAGAAAGUGACCGGAUCGGCGGACUCCGACGAGAUCAUCGGGGCCGGGUGGUUCCGGGAGGUCCCCGGGAGGUCCCCGGGAGGUCGAUGAAGGGAUGCGAGAGACGAUCACGUCGUUUGAAGACUUGGAUGUGUUCAAGCGCGCCUAUCGGAUCUCGCUGGAGGUUCAUCGGCGAAGCUUGGAAUUCCCGGCGAUCGAGCAACAGGCGCUGGCCGAUCAGGUCAGGCGGGCGUCGAAGUCGAUCCCGGCCAACAUCGCCGAGGGGUUCGGCAAGCAGAAGCAGUCGGUGGCCGAGUUCAAGCGCUAUCUGGUGAUAGCGAUCGGUUCCGCGGACGAGAUGCGGGUGUGGCUGCGUUAUUGCUUCGACCUUGAUUAUAUCGACGAGGCGCAAUGGCUGCUUUGGCGCGACGAGUAUCGCGCGAUCGCGAAGAUGCUCCAAGCCCUGCACAGGUCUUGGUCAUAAGGUGUCUUGGUCAUGACGUCAUGAUUGGCGAUCACGGUUGCAGGAUCGCGACGGCCGCGCAAGCGGCACUUUCUGUCCUCUGUGCUCUGUCAUCUGUCUUCUGAACACGGUAGCGGAGCGUUCCGUAAGCCCGUGAAGGGGGUCCGUGAGGACCUCUGGAGGUAUCGGAAGCGAGAAUGCUGACAUGAGUAGCGAUCAAGAGGGUGAGAAACCCUCUCGCCGAAAGUCCAAGGGUUCCUCAGCAAGGCUAAUCCGCUGAGGGUGAGCCGGCCCCUAAGGCGAGGGCGAAAGCCGUAGUCGAUGGGAACCAGGUCAACAGUCCUGGGCCUGCCGGAGGUGACGAAUGGCGUAAGUUGUCUUCGCUUAAUGGAUUGCGAAGGCGGCGGUGCCGUUCCAGGAAACAACCCCGGCGUAUAGACCGUACCCGAAACCGACACAGGUGGACAGGUAGAGCAUACCAAGGCGCUUGAGAGAAUGGUGUUGAAGGAACUCGGCAAAAUGCCCCCGUAACUUCGGGAGAAGGGGGCCCCGCCCCUGGGCAACCAGGGGUGGGGGGCACAGAGCAGGGGGUGGCGACUGUUUACUAAAAACACAGGGCUCUGCUAAGCCGCGAGGCGAAGUAUAGGGUCUGACGCCUGCCCGGUGCCGGAAGGUUAAGGAGAGGGGUUGACGCUCUGAACCGAAGCCCCGGUAAACGGCGGCCGUAACUAUAACGGUCCUAAGGUAGCGAAAUUCCUUGUCGGGUAAGUUCCGACCUGCACGAAUGGCGUAACGACUUCCCCGCUGUCUCCAACACCAACUCAGCGAAAUUGAAUUCUCCGUGAAGAUGCGGAGGACCCGCGGUCAGACGGAAAGACCCCGUGCACCUUUACUACAGCUUUGCAGUGGUAUUAGGAGACGAAUGUGUAGGAUAGGCGGAAGCCUUUGAAGCCAUGGCGCCAGUUAUGGUGGAGGCACCCUUGAAAUACCGCCCUUUUGUUUUCUGGUAUCUAACCGUGGCCCGUUAUCCGGGUCCGGGACCCUGCAUGGUGGGUA
rnacentral:rRNA from 1 species